rnacentral:pre_miRNA from 1 species
AUGAGAUGAAAUCAGCGUUUGAAUAUGCGAUUUUACGGUGAUUUUAUAUCAUGA